GGAUGGUAUUUUUACCUCCUACGACCGGGUCUUCCGGUAAAACCCGAACUGACUAAUUGAACCACAACCGGCUAGCCCCUGCCCUAACCGGUCCAUCCGGUCGUCAACCCACGGUUUUUAUAAACCAGUAAGCUUCCCUCGGCUCACCCCUUUUCUCUCUUCAGCAUCCAAGGCCGGAGGAAAUCAAAGAGAGAAAAAACAAAUGCAAGUAAGUUGUAUGCCUCUUCUCUUUGUUUCAAUAUGCAGUAUGAUGAUUGAUGAUUAGGCUAUAAAGCAAAAUUCUACCCUAAUGUGCAUCAUUUUAAUACUGAAGAGGCUGUGUAGAAUUGUUAGUUUCAUGAAUGAAUGAAUGAAAUGCUUGCUGGGAAACGUUUUUGGGUAUAGAUAGCCAUUGCCCACUUGGUAAUUCCUUAAGGUUAUUAAGAUGGCGUUGGCGCCCCAACCUAUAGCUUCCAGUUUGGAACCACUACCUAUUACCUCCCAAAAACAUGACCCGGCAUGGAAGCAUUGUCAAAUGUUCAAGAAUGGGGACAGGGUGCAGCUCAAGUGUUUGUAUUGUGGAAAAGUGUUUAAAGGUGGUGGGAUUCAUAGGAUUAAGGAACACCUUGCGGGCCAAAAGGGUAAUGCAUCUACGUGCCUUAGAGUGUCACCUGAUGUUCGGCUUCUGAUGCAACAGAGUUUAGAUGGGGUUGUAGUGAAGAAGAAGAAGAAGCAAAAGAUUGCGGAAGAGAUAACAAGCAUAAGUCCACUGCCUACUAGUGAGAUGGACACCUUUGGCAAUCAAUGUGAUGUGAAUUCUGGACUACAAUUAUUAGCUGUUCCUGAGACACUUGAACCUGAUUCAAGUCUAUUAGUAACUAGAGAAGAAGGAAAGACCAAUAGAGGAACAGAUAGAAGGAAGCGAGGGAGAGUAAAAAGAGCAGAUAAAAGUGCAAUUCCUGAUGCUGUUGCUAUUAAUAGUAUUGCAUUAGAUUCAAAAAGGGGAAACAAUCAGGUCCAUAUGGCAAUAGCACGGUUUUUAUAUGAUGCUGGGGUACCUCUUGAGGCGGUAAACUCGGUUUAUUUCCAACAAAUGAUCGAUGCAAUUGCUUCAGGAGGACCAGGGGUUGCUGCACCCUCUAAUCAAGAUCUUAGGGGUUGGAUUCUGAAGAACUCAGUUGAAGAAGUGAAGAAUGAUAUUGACCAAUACAUGGGGACAUGGGCAAGGACUGGUUGUUCUGUUUUAGUAGACCAAUGGAAUACACACAAUGGCAGGAUCUUGAUAAACAUUUUGGCACAUUGUCCUGAAGGAAUUAUGUUCUUGAGAUCUGUGGAUGUGUCAGACAUAAUGAAUUCUGCUGAUGCUCUGUAUGAAUUGCUUAAGGAAGUGGUGGAAGAAGUGGGGGUAAGGAAUGUGUUGCAAGUGAUUACUAAUGGUGAAGAACAGUACCUUGUUGCAGGGAAAAGGUUAUCUGAUACUUUCCCUACUCUAUAUUGGGCUCCAUGUGCAUCUCGUUGCUUAGAUUUGAUGCUUGAGGAUUUUGGGAAACUUGAGUGGAUAAAUGCAACACUUGAACAGGCUAAAUCUAUUGCAAGGUUUGUCUACAAUCAUAAUGUUGUUCUGAAUAUGAUGAGAAGGUAUACUUUUGGCAAUGAUAUUGUAGCACCAGGAAUGACUCGUUUUGCUACAAACUUUAUGACACUGAAACGAAUGGUGGAUCUUAAACAAAAUUUGCAGGACAUGAUUACUUCACAGGAGUGGAUGGACUGCCCAUGUUCAAAGAAACCAGGGGGGUUGGAAAUGUUGGAUCUCAUAAGUAACCAUUCAUUCUGGUCCUCAUGCAUCCUAAUUGUCCAUUUGACAGAUCCACUCUUGCGAGUUUUCAGAAUUGUUGGCAAUGAAAAAAGACCUGCAAUGGGAUAUGUUUAUGCAGGAAUAUAUCGAGCCAAAGAAACAAUUAAGAAACAACUUGUUAAGAAGGAGGAUUAUAUCGUCUAUUGGAAUAUUAUAGACAACAGGUGGGAACAACAAUGGCAUGUUCCGCUCCAUGCUGCAGGUUUCUACCUUAAUCCCAAGUUCUUUUAUAGUAUUGAAGGAGAUAUACAUAAUGAGAUAGUGUCAGGAAUGCUUGAUUGUAUAGAAAGAUUAGUUCCUGAUACCAUAAUUCAGGAUAAAAUCAUGAAAGAGCUAAAUACGUACAAGAAUUCUAUUGGAGAUUUUGGGAGGAAGAUGGCAAUUAGAGCUAGAGAUACUCUGCUUCCUGCUGAAUGGUGGUCAACAUAUGGAGGCAGUUGCCCAAAUUUGGCACGUUUGGCCAUCCGUGUUCUGAGUCAGCCUUGCAGUUCAAUUGUAAAUAAGCGAAAUCAGAUCCCUUUUGAGCAGAUGCAUGACUCAAGAAACUGCCUAGAGCAUCAACGUCUCAUUGACCUUGUGUUUGUUCAGUACAACUUGCGAUUGAUGCAAAUGGUCCAGAUGAACAGAGAACAUGAUCCAAGGGACCCUAUCUCUUUUGACAGCAGUAAUGUUGUUGAUGACUGGGUCUCGGGGAAGGAAGCAUGCUUGCAGGAUUAUGGGACUUCAGACUGGAUGGCACUUGAUCCACCUUCAGGCAACACUAUGCUUUUAGGACCUUCAAAUGAUGAAGCUGAAGAUUUAGGCGCAGGAUUUGAUGAUGAUGAGAUUUUCAAUAGAGUAAAAGAUGUCGAGGAGGAUAAUGUUGAGGACAAUGUAGUAAGCCAGUAGAACAGCAUUCACAAAACACUGUUUUUAUGCGGAUUCCAUAUUGAAGACUGGUUACAUGUUGCACUGUAAUCAAGCAGAAAAUGACUAUUGAAUGGAUUGGCAGGUAACCAGAAAGUAAUCAAUCAAAGCAACCUUCAUCAAGGAAGAAAAGAUAUUGAAGGUUUGGAUCAAGGCUCAGCCUAUCUCAAAAAUGUCAAUCCUCCUGCAAGUCAUGGCUGACGAUAAGCAGCUUUAUUGAAAUUGUACUUAAAAAUGCCUUGUAUAUCUCUGUUCUGUUAUGCAGUUUUGUAGAAAAAUAGAGGUGAUUUCUCUUUAUAUUUCUCACCCAGAUGUUGUAGAUGAUAUCAUACACAAUAUACCUUUUAGCUAAAACUAUGAGUUACAAUUAAACCUUUGUGAAUUUUAAGUUACAUCAUCAAUUUAUAAUCACUAGAAAAAUGACUACUCAACAGUGUUGUAGUCCAACUUUAUCA